rnacentral:misc_RNA from 1 species
UGUUCUAGUCAGCAGGGACUU